GACGAACGCUGGCGGCGUGCUUAACACAUGCAAGUCGAACGGAAAGGCCCUGCUUUUGUGGGGUGCUCGAGUGGCGAACGGGUGGGUAACACGUGAGUAACCUGCCCUUGACUUUGGGAUAACUUCAGGAAACUGGGGCUAAUACCGGAUAGGAGCUCCUGUUGCAUGGUGGGGGUGGGAAAGUUUCGGCGGUUGGGGAUGGACUCGCGGCUUAUCAGCUAGUUGGUGGGGUAGUGGCUUACCAAGGCUUUGACGGGUAGCCGGCCUGGGAGGGUGACCGGCCACCUUGGUCCUAAGAUACGGCCCAGACUCGUACGGUAGGCAGCGGGGGGGAGUAUUGCACAAUGGGAGGGCGCCUGAUGCGGCAGCGCCGCGUGCGGGAUGACGGCCUUCGGGUUGUAAACCGCUUUCGCCUGUGACGAAGCGGGAGUGACGGUAAUGGGUAAAGAAGCACCGGCUAACUACGUG
rnacentral:rRNA from 1 species